CCCACUGUGGGCUCAGGGGCUGUGUGCACCAUGGCCUGGACCCCUCUCCUCCUCCUGCUCCUCUCUCACUGCACAGGUUCCCUGUCCCAGCCUGUGGUGACUCAGCCGCCCUCUGUGUCUGCAUCUCCUGGAGCCACUGCCAGACUCACCUGCACCCUCAGCAGAGACCUCAGUGUUGGGAACUCUGUUAUAUCUUGGUACCAGCAGAAGCCAGGGAGCCCUCCCCGGUUUCUCCUGUCCUACUACACAGAUUCAUUAAAGCACCAGGGCUCUGGGGUUCCCAGCCGCUUCUCUGGAUCCAAAGACACCUCAGCCAAUGCAGGACUCCUGACCAUCUCUGGGCUGCAGCCUGAGGACGAGGCCGACUAUUACUGUCUGUCUUUUGAUAGCAGUGGUAAUCACACAGUGCUGCAGACUGAGGGGGAAAAAGUUUAUGUAGAGAUUGCAGGUUUCUGA